UUAGUAUUUUCUGCUCAAUGUAAAUAGCCGCAGUACCCUGACUGUGCAAAGGUAGCAUAAUAAUUUGGCUUAUAAUUGAAGUCUGGAAUGAAUGAAAAAUGGAUAGUGCUGUAUUACUUUACUAUAUAAUUUACUUAAUGGGUGAAAAUUCCCAUAAUAUUAUAAGACGAGAAGACCCUAGAAAUUUUUAAUUUUGUUGGGGCAACAAUUUUAAAAUAUAUAAAAUAAUUUAUAAAAUAAUAAAUUACUCUAGGGAUAACAGCAUAAUUUUCAAAGAUUGUGACCUCGAUGUUGGAUUAGGUAAAGUUAAGA
rnacentral:rRNA from 1 species